rnacentral:tRNA from 1 species
UGGGCGGGUAGCUCUAACGGCAGAGCGUCCGGUUUGCAUCCGGAAGGCUCCGGGUUCAACUCCCGGUCUGUCCAUCC